GUGGGGAAUAUUGGACAAUGGGCGCAAGCCUGAUCCAGCCAUGCCGCGUGUGUGAUGAAGGCCUUAGGGUUGUAAAGCACUUUUGUCCGGGAAGAUAAUGACUGUACCGGAAGAAUAAGCCCCGGCUAACUUCGUGCCAGCAGCCGCGGUAAUACGAAGGGGGCUAGCGUUGCUCGGAAUCACUGGGCGUAAAGGGCGCGUAGGCGGACUCUUAAGUCGGGGGUGAAAGCCCAGGGCUCAACCCUGGAAUUGCCUUCGAUACUGAGAGUCUUGAGUUCGGAAGAGGUUGGUGGAACUGCGAGUGUAGAGGUGAAAUUCGUAGAUAUUCGCAAGAACACCAGUGGCGAAGGCGGCCAACUGGUCCGAUACUGACGCUGAGGCGCGAAAGCGUGGGGAGCAAACAGGAUUAGAAACCCGGGUAGUCC
rnacentral:rRNA from 1 species